rnacentral:rRNA from 1 species
CCCCAGCCUAAUACUUGCAAGUCGAACGGGCAUAUUGAUUUCGGUUGAUAUGUUAGUGGCGCACGGGUGAGUAACGCGUACACAACCUGCCUUAUAUUGGGGGAUAGCCCUGGGAAACUGGGAGUAAUACCGCAUAAUAUUAUUGAGAGGCAUCUUUUGAUAAUUAAAGCUGAGGCGAUAUAAGAUGGGUGUGCGUCUGAUUAGGUAGUUGGUAGGGUAACGGCCUACCAAGCCGACGAUCAGUAGGGGGUGUGAGAGCAUGGCCCCCCACACGGGUACUGAGACACGGACCCGACUCCUACGGGAGGCAGCAGUAAGGAAUAUUGGUCAAUGGAGGGAACUCUGAACCAGCCAUUCCGCGUGAAGGAUGACGGCCCUCUGGGUUGUAAACUUCUUUAGUCUGGGAAGAAAAGUUUGCAUUUAUGCGAAUCUGACGGUACCAGAAGAAUAAGCACCGGCUAACUCCGUGCCAGCAGCCGCGGUAAUACGGAGGGUGCAAGCGUUAUCCGGAAUCACUGGGUUUAAAGGGUGCGUAGGCGGCAUUAUAAGUCAGGAGUGAAUU